ACCCCCCCCACAGAGACCCCCCCCAUUGACCCCCCAGAGAGACCCCCCCAAUAGCCCCCCAAGAGGACCCCCCCCCCAAUAGACCCUAAAGAGACCCCCCCAAUGGACCCCAAAAGAGACCCCCCCUCAUUGGACCCCCCCAUAGAGACCCGCCCAUAGCUUGCCCAUAGCUGCCCCAUAGAUGACCCCAUAGAUACCCUUAAAGCACCCCAUAUCUGUCCCAUAGCUGCCCCCAUAGAUUACCCAUAGCUGCCCCAUUGGCUGCCCCAUAGCUGCCCCAUAAGAUACCCAUAGCUGCCCCAUUAUUGCCCCAUAGAUACCCCAUAGCUGCCCAAGAUACCCCAUAUCUGCCCCCAUAGCUGCCGCCAUAUCUGCCCCAUAUCUACCCAUAGCUGCCCCAUAGAUACCCCAUUAGCUGCCCCAUAUCUGCCCCAAGAAGAUAACCCCAUAUCUUGCCCCUAGAUAACCCCAUAGCUGCCCAUAGCUGGCCCCAUAGAUACCCCCAUAGCUGCCCCAUAGUGCCCCAUAUCUACCCCAUAGCUGCCCCAUAGAUACCCCAUAGCUGCCCCAUAGAUACCCUAUAUCUGCCCUAUAUCUGCCCCAUAGCUGCCCCACAUCCGCCCCAUAGCUCACCUUGCAGAAGCUGCAGUAGCUGCAGAUGGAUCCCGGCCUGUAACGUCCAUCACCACCAUCAUCAUCAUCAUCAUCAUCUUCAUCCUCCUCCGAGCUGCCCCCACCACCAUCAUCAUCAUCAUCAUCCUCCUCCUCGGAGCUCACGGGGUCGCCAUGGUGAUGGUUGCCAUGGUGACGAGCAUCCUGGUUGCCAUGGUGAUGGACAUCAUGGUCGUCAUGGUGAUGGACAUCAUGGUCGUCAUGGGGAUGAGCAUCCUCGUGGUCGUCAUGGUGAUGGACAUCCUGGUUGCCAUGGUGAUGGUCGCCAUGGUGAUGCUCUUCAUGAUGGUUGCCAUGGUGAUGAGCUUCAUGGUCGCCAUGGGGAUGCUCUUCAUCCUGGUUGCCAUGGUGAUGGUUGUCAUGGUGAUGCCCAUCCUGGUUGCCAUGGUGAUGAGCAUCCUCCUGGUUGCCAUGGUGACGGUCUCCAUCCUGGUUGCCAUGGUGAUGGUUGCCAUGGUGAUGGUUGCCAUGGAGAUGCUCUUCAUCCUGGUUGCCAUGGUGAUGGACAUCAUGGUCGCCAUGGUGAUGCCCAUCCUGGUUGCCAUGGUGAUGCUCUUUAUGGUUACCAUGGUGACGGUCGCCAUGUUGAUGCCCAUCCUGAUGCUCUCCAUCCUGGCCGCCAUGUUGAUGCUCCUCCUUGUUGCCAUGGUGACCGUCUCCAUGGUGAUGCUCUUCCUGGUUGCCAUGGUGACGCCCCUCCCCCCCGUCACCACGAGGCUCUUCCCUCCUCCCCUCCCCCUCCCCCCCCCCACCCUUUCAUCCACCCCUUCGAUUUUCGCAAUAAUCAUCACCCACUGUUGGCGCGUCUCCAACCCCGCUCCCCCUCCAACCAUAACAUGGGCGAGUCCGCGUAGCACCACCAUUAACCCCCCCCCCAUUUCCAAACCCGGGGGGGGCAGGAGGAGCCCCGAGGAACAGCCAAAGGAUCCGACCCCCCAUAGCCAGAACAGCAUCCAGACGCAAAUUGAGGAAACAGCUUGCUUUCUAGCACCCCCCCACUGUCUCAGGGGGCGGGUGGGGCUGCAUAUUACUAUCUACCCCCCACCGCCCCUAUAG
ensembl:lncRNA